CCUGUACUCCCUGUUCACCCACGACUGCGUGGCCACGCACGCCUCCGACUCAAUCAUCAAGUUUGCGGACGACACUACAGUGGUAGGCUUGAUUACCAACAACGACGAGAUGGCCUACAGGGAGGAGGUGAGGGCCCUUGGAGUGUUGUGUGAGGAAAAUAACCUCCUGGUACAGCAACUUGACCAGCACCUACUGUACAGCUUGGACUGGACAGUCUACAGGAAAAACACUGGAGAGGAUUGGCGUAAUUUGUUAUGAUGAAGCACAACUUAUAAAGAUGAACUGAAACCCAAGUUCAGCAUCACCAGAGACACUUCCAGCAACAGACUGUUUCUAACAGGACAGAGUCUGCAGACAUAAUCUCUCUGCGCACGGAACCCGCUAGCGGGCUGAAAUUCCACAACAUACGGUGAUCGCUACAUAAAUAGUCAUAUUAAACAUUCAUGAAAAUACAAGUGUCUCACAUGUAUUGAAAGCCUAGAAUCUUGCUAAUCCAACUGCGUUGUCAGAUUUAAAAAGGGAUUUACUGCAAAAGAAUACGAUGCGAUUAUCUGAGCAAAAAGCCCCAUAAAAACCACAAUUUUAACCAGCACAGGCGUAACAUAAUCACAAACUGCAUUAAGAGACUGUGUAUUAUUGUGCUGGAUGACUACAAUGAUACUAACCAAGACAUGGACCUGUUCUGAAACUGAAAACCCAUGAGCAUCAAGCACAAGUGCAACAUAUGGCCACCAGUGAUUCAAUAGAAGAAAAUAAUAUAAAUCGAAAAACUGCUCUAUGACAUAACUCUUAUUGUUGAUACACUGGCACAAUAAGUAUUAUAACAUGUACACCUUGAUUCUUCACAAAAACAUUUCUCAACAGUGCCAAGAUACACUAUGUAGGAUUUAGACCACUAGAGCAAUGGGGAGAAGUAUUUAACACCAUAGAGAUGCAAAUGUGUUUCGAUUCACAUAGACCCAAGGUCUCCUCCCAUUUCAAUAGUCUGAUAUAACUGCCCUCCACAGAUCUCCCUCAGUCACGACGACCACUCCCAGUCUCUUCCCUUGCUUCUAGAAUCGUAGAACCUUUCCACAAUGACACUUUUAGAAUGUGUGUUCCUCCUGGCUCUCAUCUCAGCUGUUCAGGGGCAGUCACUCACCUCCUCUGAGCCAGUGGUGAAGAAACCUAGAGAGUCAGUAACACUGUCCUGUGCUGUCUCUGGCCUUUCUCUAAGCUAUUUGCAUUGGAUCCGUCAGAAACCAGGGAAAGGACUUGAGUGGAUUGGGCGCAUUGACGGUGGCACUGGCACUGUAUUUGCCCAGUCUCUCCAGGGCCAGUUCACCAUCACCAAAGACGUCUCCAAAAACCAGCUGUACUUAGAGGUGAAAAGCCUGAAGACUGAAGACUCUGCUGUUUAUUAUUGUGCCAAAGACACAGUGACACAGGAAGCUGAAGCGCCGUACAAAAACUGAUCAACAGUGAUCCCAGGAUGAGAGGCAAUGAAGCGCGUCUGUUCUUAAAACACACAGUUAACACUACUCAAAAGUUGCUGAAAUUAUUAUAGAUCCUUGAACUCCACAAUAGAUUCCCAAGAGGGGAUGUGCAGUAAGAGAUACAUAUAAUUCAAUACAACUUGUAUUGUCCCACAUAGGGAAAUGCGCUUGUUUCUGUGCUGUUCAGCAUUGUAUAAAAUCAAACGUAUCUAGUCUGAACAUCCCAUAUGUAAAAUCUCUGGCUUUCACAGUCUAGGCAACUUGGACUGACAUUACAGCAAGCCCUGCAUUAACCUGACUAUCACCGAACAAAGUUUAGUACUCUCCAAUAAGUGUUCAGGGUCAGACACUGACUGAGUCUCAAUCAGUGGUUAAAAAGUCUGAAGAAUCCCACAAACUGACUUGCACAUAUGCUGGGUUUAGAAGCAGCUAUUGGAAUGCUUGGCUCAGACAGGCUCCUGGGAAAGGUUGCUACCAUUAUUGGUUCCGGCAGUUACAUCUACUACUCCCCGUCUUUUCAGGGUCGGUUCACCAUCUACAGAUUAACAGUCUGAAGACUGAAGACUCUGCUGUGUAUUAUUGUUGCAGAGACACAGUGACACAGGAGUCUGCAGCACUGUAUAAAAACUGAUCCAGCACUUCUCUUACUGUGAGAGUCUGUGAAACAAUUCUGAGCUCUAGUCUCUGUCAACAUCAAUCCCACGGCCCCACCAACACUAUAGGAUGGAGUAGGCACAUCGUACUCUAAAUUAUAACCAUAAUAUACAUGAUAACUUGAAAAAAAUGAAAUAUACCUGACAACUUGUCAAGAUAACUGUAUGAAUAUCAUUAUAAACCUUUAACUGAAAACUUUAAAGCCAUUUCAAGUCAGUUGACAAUAGUAAAUAACUAACAUUGCUAUUACAUUACUAAUCGGUUAUGUUUUUCAAUUUGGUGAUCUUAUUUAAAUGAAACCAGAUUUCAAAUUUCAUUAAACAAUUAAUGCAAUAUUAAAUACAUGUACCACGAAGGUCAUUAAUGUUAAACAGUAAUGAAACAAAUAUAGAUCUUUGGGUGACCCUAAUAGAUUGUCAUCCUGUGCUGUUCUGAGAAACAAUGUUGACAUGAUCAACUCUUCCUCUCAGUCUCUAUUUAAACCUCUGGUGGGAGGUCUAUGCAAAGUCAAUCCUUUCAUCCCUUUAUAAUCAGACAGUCAGCUCUGGCCUUCCCAUUAUAGGUCGCCUGGCUGACAUUACAGUGAGCCCUGCACUAACUAUCACUAAACAAUUGAGCUUACGAAAAAGCCCUGGAGUGGAAUGGGAGAAUGAAUAAAAGGCCAGUUCACUCUGACUGAGGACGUCUUCACAAGCACACAGUUAUUGUAGGCCAAGAGGACUCUGCUGUUUAUUAUUGUGCUCGCCAGUGGUGGGUUUAGGUAUAGGCGACAUGUGCAGCCGCCCAGGGCAGCAUCUUGCUGGGGGCGGCACGGGGUGCCCGCACACUAAAAAAAAUGUUUUAUUACAUUUUGAAUGGUGACAUUUACGUGAUCGGUUCUCUAUCACUCAAUUGCUCAUCACGUCAAUGAUAUCAUGUCAGCAUGUGGGUCAAUUAACCUUGCCGGGGUGGGCGCCCUGAUAGUUUGUGAGCUAGGCAGGCUACUGCCUGGUAAGGGCUCCCACUCAGAAGUACGAGAUGGGGAGGGGGGCAGGGUUAGGUUGACCUCAGGUCUCCCCACUGGAAGCCUGAGGUAGGGGGAGCUAUCUAUCAAAUAGCACACCUCUAACUUUGUACAGGACUAAUGCAAUUAGCGUUGGACUAGUAACCGGAAGGUUGCAAGUUCAUACCCCCGUGCUGACAAGGUACAAAUCUGUCGUUCUGCCCCUGAACAGGCAGUUAACCCACUGUUCCUAGGCCGUCAUUGAAAAUAAGAUUUUGUUCUUAACUGACUUGCCUGGUUAAAUAAAGUUUAAAAAAAAAUAUAUAUAUAUAUAUAUAUAUUUUAAUUGUUCUGCAAUUUAGUUUGUGUGUUUCUUGUGUGAAGUGCAUUAGUGUAAUAAUCAGGUUCUAUUCUUUAUAAGUGUGUUAUUUUGUGUAUUUGUGUGAUAUAGGAUUUGUGCAAUUUAGUUUAAUUUGUGUGUUUUUUGUUAGCAAUAGGGUAAUAGUGUAAUAAUUAGAUUUUUUUACAUUGGUAUUUAUUUACUACAAUUUGUUUCUAUUUGUCUUUGUUAAUUCUUUUCGAUAGUUAUGAGUCUUUUUUGUAUAUAUUUUUAGAUUCAUAUAGUUUUAAAUGACCAUUUAUUUGUGUUGUUCCAAAUGUCUGAAUAAAAAUUACAGUUAACUUCUUAAGGGAUAGGGGGCAGCAUUUUCACUUUUGGAUAAAUAGCGUGCCCAAUUUCAACUUCCUGCUACUCAUGCCAAGUAAAUAAGAUAUGCAUAUUCAUACACUCUGAAGUUUCUAAAACUGUUUGAAUCAUGUCUGUGAGUACAACAGAACUUAUGUAGCAGGCAAAACCCAGAGGACUAACCAUUCAGAAAAAAUACAUUUGAGGUCACUGUCUAUUCAAUGAUUUUCAUUGGGGAACUAUAUUUAUAAGGCACUUGUUUGCAGUGCCUACCGCUUCCACUGGAUGUCACCAGUCUUUGGAAAAUGGUUGAGGUUAUUCCUUUGUGAAAUGAAGAAGUACAGCCAUCUUGAAAAAGUGUAACACUGUUGAGAGUUUUGCAAGACUGGAAAAGUAGCAUCAGUUUGUUGUUGUCCUGUAUUGAAAACAGAUAGACCCGUCUUCAAUUUGAUAGAUUAUUACCGUUUCAAAAUACCUAAAGUUGUAUUACAAAAGUAGCUUGAAAUGUUUUGGCAAAGUUUACAGGUAACUUUUGAGAUAUUUUUUAGUGAUGUUGCGCAAAUUGGUAGCUGUUUUUUUCUGGUUCAAACGCGCCAAAUAAAUUGACAUUUUGGAUAUA